rnacentral:lncRNA from 1 species
GUACAGUUUUUCGAUACUUGCACGGAUUCUACUAUUUCCCGGUACUCGCCCGGAUUCUUCCUUUUUACGGUACUCACAUUGAUUCAACCCUUUUCUCGUACUCGCCCUGACAGUUUUUCGAUACUCGCACGGAUUAUAUCUUUUCCCGGUACUCACCCGGAUUCUACCAUUUUUCGGUAGUCACACUAAUUUGACCUUUUUCCGGUAUUAGUCGGGACACUUUUUCGGUACUCACACUGAUUCGACCAUUUUCUGGAACUCGUCGGGACAGUUUUUCGACACUUGCACGGAUUCUACUAUUUCCCGGUACUCGCCCGGAUUCUUCCAUUUUUCGUUACUCACACUCAUUCAACCCUUUUCUCGUACUCGCCCGGACACUUUUUCGAUACUCGCACGGAUUCUACCUUUUCCCGGUACUCACCCGGAUUCUACCAUUUUUCGGUACUCACACUAAUUGGACCCUUUUCCAGAACUCGUCGGUAUAGUUUUUCGAUACUCGCACGGAUUCUACUAUUUCCCGGUACUCGCCCGGAUUCUUCCAUUUUUCGGUACUCAUAUUGAUUCAACCCUUUUCUCGUACUCGCCGGGACAGUUUUUCGAUACUCGCACGGAUUCUAUCUUUUCCCGGUACUCACCCGGAUUCUACCAUUUUUCGGUACUCACACUAAUUUGACCUUUUUCCGGUAUUAGUCGGGACACUUUUUCGGUACUCACACUGAUUCGACCAUUUUCUCGUACUCGUCGGGACACUUUUUCGACACUGGCACGGAUUCUACUAUUUCUCGGUACUCGCCCGGAUUCUUCCAUUUUUCGGUACUCACACUCAUUCAACCCUUUUCUCGUACUCGCCCGGACAAUUUUUCGAUACUCGCACGGAUUCUACCUUUUCCCGGUACUCACCCGGAUUCUAUCAUUUUUCGGUACUCACACUAAUUUGACCUUUUUCCGGUAUUAGUCGGGACACUUUUUCGGUACUCACACUGAUUCGACCAUUUUCCGGAACUCGUCCGUACAGUUUUUCGAUACUUGCACGGAUUCUACUAUUUCCCGGUACUCGCCCGGAUUCUUCCAUUUUUCGUUACUCACACUCAUUCAACCCUUUUCUCGUACUCGCCCGGACACUUUUUCGAUACUCGCACGGAUUCCACCUUUUCCCGGUACUCACCCGGAGUCUACCAUUUUUCUGUACUCACACUAAUUGGACCCUUUUCCAGAACUCGUCGGUAUAGUUUUUCGAUACUCGCACGGAUUCUACUAUUUCCCGGUACUCGCCCGGAUUCUUCCAUUUUUCGGUACUCAUAUUGAUUCAACCCUUUUCUCGUACUCGCCGGGACAGUUUUUCGAUACUCGCACGGAUUCUAUCUUUUCCCGGUACUCACCCGGAUUCUACCAUUUUUCGGUAGUCACACUAAUUUGACCUUUUUCCGGUAUUAGUCGGGACACUUUUUCGGUACUCACACUGAUUCGACCAUUUUCUCGUACUCGUCGGGACACUUUUUCGACACUUGCACGGAUUCUACUAUUUCCCGGUACUCGCCCGGAUUCUUCCAUUUUUCGGUACUCACACUCAUUCAACCCUUUUCU